UGGGGAAUAUUGCGCAAUGGGCGAAAGCCUGACGCAGCGACGCCGCGUGGAGGAUGAAGGUCUUCGGAUUGUAAACUUCUGUUAAGUGGGAAAAAAGGCCCUUUUCUAAUACAGAAGGGAGAUGAUGGUACCAUUAGAGAAAGCACCGGCUAAUCUCGUGCCAGCAGCCGCGGUAAUACGAGAGGUGCAAGCGUUAUUCGGAAUCAUUGGGCGUAAAGGGCGUGUAGACGGUGUAUUAAGUCUGUUGUUAAAUCCCUCGGCUCAACCGAGGAUGUGCAGCGGAAACUGGUAUGCUAGAGGUUGGAAGAGAGAAGUGGAAUUCUCGGAGUAGCGGUAAAAUGCGUAGAUCUCGAGAGGAACACCAAUGGCGAAGGCAGCUUCUUGGUCCAUACCUGACGUUGAGACGCGAAAGCGUGGGGAGCAAACAGG
rnacentral:rRNA from 1 species